AACCCAUGAUGCAAGCAAAGUUUCAUCAUGUCCUUAUGCCUUUCCUAGGCUUCAAAAAGGGAUUCUCCACCAGCUUAUCUAAAACAAGUUAUUUGGUUUCUUAAUACU